UACGAAGGGGGCUAGCGUUGCUCGGAAUUACUGGGCGUAAAGCGCACGUAGGCGGCUUGUUAAGUCAGGGGUGAAAUCCUGGAGCUCAACUCCAGAACUGCCUUUGAUACUGGCGAGCUUGAGUUCGGGAGAGGUGAGUGGAACUGCGAGUGUAGAGGUGAAAUUCGUAGAUAUUCGCAAGAACACCCGUGGCGAAGGCGGCUCUCUGGGACGGUACUGACGCUGAGACGCGAAAGCGUGGGGAGCAAACAGG
rnacentral:rRNA from 1 species